GCAAUCAUGGCUUACUGCAGCCUCAACCUCUUGGGCUCAAGCAAUCCUUCCACGUCAGCAGGAGCUACAUGUCAUCCUCUCAAGUAGCUGGGACUAUAGGCCUCCCUAUUCCCUGAGACACAGAAAAAUUGAAAUUAGGCCAAUUAAUAACCCUACAGUGGCAUCUGUGUGUUCAAGCAAAAGGAAAAGUCACACAUCUCUCACUUUAAAUCAAAAGCUAGAAAGGAUAAAGCCUAGUGAGGAAGGCAUGUCAAAAGCCGAGAUAGGCCAAAAGCUAGGUCUCUUGUACUAAACAAUUAGCUAAGUGGUGGAUGCAAUUAAAAGUUUUUGAAGGAAAUUAGAAGUGCUACUUCAGUGAACACAUGAAUGAUAAGAAAGCAAAACAGUUUCAUUGCUGAUAUGGAGAAAGUUUGAGUGGUCUGGAUAGAAGAUCAAACCAGCCACAACAUUCCCGUAAGCCAAAGCCUAAUCCAGAGCAAGGCCCUAACUCUUCAACUCUAUGAAGGCUGAGGAAGGUGAGAAAGCUGCAGAGGAAAAGUUGGAAGCUAGCAGAGAUUGGUUCCUGGGGUUUAAGGAAAGAAGCCAUCUCUAUAACAUACUAUAAAAGUGCAAGGUGAAGCAGCAAGUGCUGAUGGAGAAGUUGCAGCAAGUUAUCUGCAAGAUCUACCUAAGAUAAUUGAUAAAGAUGGCUGCAUUAAUCAACAGAUUUUCAGUGUAGAUAAAACAGUCUUCUAUUUUAAGAAGACAGGACUUUCACAGCUAGAGAGGAGUAAAAGCCUGGCUUCAAAGGCUCAAAGAACAGGCUGACUCUCCGGCUGGGGGCUAAUGCUGCUGAUGAUUUUAAGUUGCAUGCAGUACCCAUUCACCAUUCUAAAAAAUCCUAUGGCCCUUCAGAAUUGUGCUGUAUCUACUCUGCCUGUGCUCUAUGAAUUGAACAACAAAGCCUGGAUUAAGCACAUCUAUUUACAGUAUGGUUUACUGAAGAUUUUAAGCCCACAACCUGCUGCUCAGAAAAAAAGAAAAGAUUCCUUUCAAAGUAAUCCUGUUCAUUGACAAUGCACAAGGUCACCCAAGGACACUGAUAGUGAUGUAAAGGAAAUUCCUGUUGUUUUAGUGCUUGCUAACACAGCAUCCAUUCUGCAGCCCACAGAUCAAGGAGUAAUUCCAACUUUAAAAUCUUAUCAUCUAGGAAAUACAUUUUGUCAGGCUAUAGCUGCCACAGAUAGUGACUCCUCAAUGGAUCUGGGCAAAAUAAAUAGAAAACCUCUGGAAAGGAUUCACCAUUUGAGAUGCCAUUGAGAACAUUCAUGAUUCACGGGAGGAGGUCAAAAUAUCAACAUUAGCAGGAGCUUGGGAGAAGUUGAUUCCAACCCUCCUGGAUGACUUUGAGGGGUUCAAGACUUCAGUGGAGAUAGUCACUGCAGAUGUGGUGAGAUAGCAAGAGAGCUAGAAUUAGUAGUGGAGCCUAAGAUAUGGCUAAAUUGCUGCAAUCUCAUGAUAAAACUUGAAUAGAU
rnacentral:lncRNA from 1 species